CAUUGGUUAGAUUCGUUGACUGGAUAGAUUGAUUCGUUUCUGUAUGUGCUUGUCACUACCUACUCCCAGGGUCGUGUGUGCGUCGGGAUGUUGACACAUUUAUAUCUGAUACCCUAAAAGGAGAAAAUUUAUCCAAGAGAGCAAAGGAGAAAAAGGAUGCUCUUAUUAAGAAGAUAAAAGAGGUGAAGGCUAAUUACCCUCAAGAUUUCCAGGAUAAAGGAGAAUUGGAAGAUGA